rnacentral:rRNA from 1 species
CACGGAUAACAUACCGAAAGGUAUGCUAAUACGGGAUAAUAUAUUUGAGAGGCAUCUCUUGAAUAUCAAAGGUGAGCCAGUACAGGAUGGACCCGCGUCUGAUUAGCUAGUUGGUAAGGUAACAGCUUACCAAGGCGACGAUCAGUAGCCGACCUGAGAGGGUGAUCGGCCACAUUGGAACUGAGACACGGUCCAAACUCCUACGGGAGGCAGCAGUGGGGAAUAUUGCACAAUGGGCGAAAGCCUGAUGCAGCAACGCCGCGUGAGUGAUGAAGGCCUUCGGGUCGUAAAACUCUGUCCUCAAGGAAGAUAAUGACGGUACUUGAGGAGGAAGCCCCGGCUAACUACGUGCCAGCAGCCGCGGUAAUACGUAGGGGGCUAGCGUUAUCCGGAUUUACUGGGCGUAAAGGGUGCGUAGGCGGUCUUUCAAGUCAGGAGUGAAAGGCUACGGCUCAACCGUAGUAAGCUCUUGAAACUGGGAGACUUGAGUGCAGGAGAGGAGAGUGGAAUUCCUAGUGUAGCGGUGAAAUGCGUAGAUAUUAGGAGGAACACCAGUUGCGAAGGCGGCUCUCUGGACUGUAACUGACGCUGAGGCACGAAAGCGUGGGGAGCAAACAGGAUUAGAUACCCUGGUAGUCCACGCUGUAAACGAUGAGUACUAGGUGUCGGGGGUUACCCCCUUCGGUGCCGCAGCUAACG